rnacentral:rRNA from 2 species
UACGUAGGGCGCGAGCGUUGUCCGGAUUUAUUGGGCGUAAAGAGCUCGUAGGCGGCCUGUCGCGUCUGCCGUGAAAUCUGGGGGCUUAACCCUCAGCGUGCGGUGGAUACGGGCUGGCUGGAGGCAGGCAGGGGAGAAUGGAAUUCCCGGUGUAGCGGUGAAAUGCGCAGAUAUCGGGAGGAACACCGGUGGCGAAGGCGGUUCUCUGGGCCUGUUCUGACGCUGAGGAGCGAAAGCGUGGGGAGCGAACAGG